AAACCAUGAUGAGGACAGUCCCUGUAGUAGUCCUUAAACCUCUCCCAAGAUUCAUGGAAUGAUUUUGUGCCU